CCUACGGGAUGCACCAGUGGGGAAUCUUGGACAAUGGGCGAAAGCCCGAUCCAGCAAUAUCGCGUGAGUGAAGAAGGGCAAUGCCGCUUGUAAAGCUCUUUCGUCGAGUGCGCGAUCGUGACAGGACUCGAGGAAGAAGCCCCGGCUAACUUCGUGCCAGCAGCCGCGGUAAUACGAAGGGGGCUAGCGUUGCUCGGAAUGACUGGGCGUAAAGGGCGCGUAGGCGGUUUAUGCAGUCAGAUGUGAAAUCCCCGGGCUUAACCUGGGAACUGCAUUUGAGACGCAUAGACUAGAGGUCGAGAGAGGGUUGUGGAGUUCCCAGUGUAGAGGUGAAAUUCGUAGAUAUUGGGAAGAACACCGGAGGCGAAGGCGGCAACCUGGCUCGAUACUGACGCUGAGGCGCGAAAGCGUGGGGAGCAAACAGGAUUAGAUACCCGUGUAGUC
rnacentral:rRNA from 1 species